rnacentral:sRNA from 1 species
AGGCACCCAGAGAUCCACCAGUGCAGCUGGGACUUGACCUUAGGGCUCCAUCUGCACUGAGUGAGAGGGCCUGGGCAGUGACAGGGCAAGGCGGGCCCCCAUGCUCAUGUCCCACUCUCAGACCUGAAUAAAGCCUGUGGGAACGCCAUGGACGCCCAUGAAGCUGCCCAGAUGCACCAGAACUUCUCGCAGCAGCUGCUCCAGGACCACAUUGAGGCCUGCAGCCUCCCCGAACACAACCUCAUCACGUGGACAGACGGUCCACCCCCCGUGCAGUUCCAAGCUCAGAAUGGACCCAACACCAGCCUGGCCAGCCUCCUGUGAGGCCUUGAUGGGGCCAUCCAGCUCCGCAGGGCCUGCGCGUCUCCGGCUUCCACCCAGACGGCACUCAAGCCUGCCUUCGAGGCGUGCUUCCUUCCUGAUUGUCUCUAGAGCUUCCAAGUCCUGGGAAUGUGCGGGGCCAGUCCCUGCCCUCCCAGGAGGGGUGGCAGCCGUUCACACCUCGCACCAGGACCCCCAGUGCAGAGGCUCACAGGUGGCACACAGGCACUGUCU